rnacentral:rRNA from 1 species
AACGCUGGCGGCGUGCCUAAUACAUGCAAGUCGAACGGUCUUUUCUAUGGAAGCUUGCUUCCACUGAAAAGAUAGUGGCGAACGGGUGAGUAACACGUGGGUAACCUGCCCAUAAGAGGGGGAUAACAUCCGGAAACGGGUGCUAAUACCGCAUAGUUUUCUUGAUCGCAUGAUCGGGAAAGGAAAGACGGCCUUUGUGCUGUCGCUUAUGGAUGGACCCGCGGCGUAUUAGUUAGUUGGUGAGGUAACGGCUCACCAAGACGAUGAUACGUAGCCGACCUGAGAGGGUGAUCGGCCACAUUGGGACUGAGACACGGCCCAAACUCCUACGGGAGGCAGCAGUAGGGAAUCUUCCGCAAUGGACGAAAGUCUGACGGAGCAACGCCGCGUGAGUGAAAGAAGGUUUUCGGAUCGUAAAACUCUGUUGUCAGAGAAGAACAAGUUGGAGAGUAACUGCUCCAGCCUUGACGGUAUCUGACCAGAAAGCCACGGCUAACUACGUGCCAGCCGCCGC